rnacentral:rRNA from 1 species
UACGGGGGGGGCAAGCGUUGUUCGGAAUCACUGGGCGUAAAGCGCACGUAGGCGGAUUUGCCAGUCAGGGGUGAAAUCCCGGGGCUCAACCUCGGAACUGCCUUUGAUACAGCAAGUCUUGAGUUCGAGAGAGGUGGGUGGAAUUCCUAGUGUAGAGGUGAAAUUCGUAGAUAUUAGGAAGAACACCGGUGGCGAAGGCGGCCCACUGGCUCGACACUGACGCUGAGGUGCGAAAGCGUGGGGAGCAAACAGG